rnacentral:rRNA from 1 species
UACGUAGGGUGCGAGCGUUGUCCGGAAUUAUUGGGCGUAAAGAGCUUGUAGGCGGUUUGUCGCGUCUGCUGUGAAAAUCCGGGGCUCAACCCCGGACUUGCAGUGGGUACGGGCAGACUAGAGUGUGGUAGGGGAGACUGGAAUUCCUGGUGUAGCGGUGGAAUGCGCAGAUAUCAGGAGGGACACCGAUGGCGAAGGCAGGUCUCUGGGCCACUACUGACGCUGAGAAGCGAAAGCAUGGGGAGCGAACAGG